CCAACUCUGCUCGCCUGGUUUCUGCAGGCUGGCUCCUGCAGCCUGGUUUCUGCAGGCUGACUCCUGCAGCCUGGUUUCUGCAGCCUGGCUCCUGCAGCCUAGCUCCUGUAGCCUGGCUCCUGCAGCCCGGUUUCUGCAGCCUGGUUUCUGCAGCCUGGUUCCUGCAGCCUGGUUUCUGCUGCCUACUCCAGAAUUUUUAAGUUGUGACCUUCGCUCCCCCUGCUGUCCUCAAUCCCGCUGCCCUACUGCCUGAGACUGAUGACUCCUCACCUACCUACCACUGUGCUGACAUUUUGGCAGAAGAAGCUGAUACCUGAAAUGAUCUGAAGGAUCAGCCUUGGCCAGGGAGUUUGAGCUGGUAUAUGGAUGGCAGCAGUUUCGUGGUUGAAGAUCUUUAUUUUUCCCGUCUAAAGGCCCUUGAAAUGGUGAGACACCAGAUCUGGGAACAACUGGAAGAAGUAUGCAUCUCUACCUGGAUCCAUGCCUCUCACGUGAAGCGAGCUCCUGGACUACCCAAAUUAUAGUACCAAAUUAUAGUAUGGGGCUUUUGACAACACUACCAGCCAAGAGGCUUGAGUUUGGGGGACUAAUCAUAGGCUGACUCUUACUGAGGUUAUGUAAUGAGACUCUUAAGAGCCCUAGGACUCCUGACACCAGGUUCUUGGUUCCUGGUUUAGAUAAAUGGUGGGCUUGUAAUACAGGCCUGACACCUUGCAUCCGACAUCAGUUUUUAAUGACACCAAAGAUUACUUACUGUGUGCUUGUAUAACUGGUACCUAGGGUCUUUUAUCAUCCAGCUAACAAGCUUGAAAAUUAGUUUGACAAGCACCCAACUCACUUUUGACAGGAACCUAUUUCUCUGACAUUAGCAGUAAUCCUGGUCCUCGGGGUAGCUGCCCUAAUACAGGCCCCUCAGUACUUUAAUGAAUUAAAACUAAUUACCUUCAUUAGAGAAGGAAUAAGUGCUGUUCAGAUUUUGAUGUUAUGCUACCAAUAGAGUGUUUUACAAGGUCAAGAAGAUACUGAAAUCUAGUUCUACGAUUAGAACUAGGUACUAGAAGAAGUGGGGAGAUGAAAGACCUGGAUAGGGCAGUGGUGGCGCACGCCUUUAAUCCCAGCACUCGGGAGGCAGAGGCAAGCCUGGUCUACAAGAGCUAGUUCCAGGACAGGCUCCAAAACCACAGAGAAACCCUGUCUCGAAAAACCAAAAUAAAUAAAUAAAUAAAUAAAUAAAUAAAUAAAUAAAUAAAUAAAAAAGAAAGAAAGACCUGGAUAAAUCCAAACCCCCAUAGCAGGAAAAAAUAGAGCCAAAAAUCUAAGCAGGGAGGAAAGAAUCAGAAAUUUAGGAUUAGCUGUUUCAGUUUCAGGAACUAGCUGAUGAUAAAGUUAGAUUGUAAUCUUGAGUAUAAUCUUGAGAAACAGGGAGUUGCCCUCUUGUGAUUUGCAUUGGUAUUUUUGGAAUUUUCUAUGAUGCCCUCCCCACCCCCUUGGGAUUACUGGGCUGUGGUUUUUUCCCUUAAAAACCCCUUCUUCCAGUUACUCGGGGUCGAACUCCUCCCCUGCGUGGGUUUUGAGUCUCGGCCCCAGUGCAC